UCAGGGGAGGGCCGUCUCCAGAACGCUAUUGAAAUCGCACAGAAAACAAAAAUGAAAAAAAAAAGACUUUCUACCAAGUCUUUGGAAACGCCCUGGUGUUUCCUUUCAUGCUAAACAAGCAGAAUGACGCUAGCUUGAAGCAUUGCAGAGAUAUUGAACAUAACGUAGCAGGAUUUAUGGAUUUAAUCAUACAAAGACGCUAUAGUUCCAGGCUGGAUUGCAAAGCCUUUUUGAAGGUAAAAAAAGAAACUCAGACACAGUUUUAUGUAUCAUGGAACAGAACGCAGCCCGAGAUCCUCAGAAAGGAAAAUCUUGGCCGCUCUGCAGUUUCUACUCAAGUCCUGUGGAGAUCUGGGACAUGGUGCCUGGACAUGGAGCGGGGAAGACUUCUCUCUUUGUGGCACUAUUUCGGGGGGAAAAUAGUCUGGAUCAACGAGCUACCAGAAGACUUCACACUUUCAGACACGUUGAUCACGUCA